GAUGAACGCUGGCGGCGUGCCUAAUACAUGCAAGUCGAACGCGCAGCGAAAGGUGCUUGCACCUUUCAAGCGAGUGGCGAACGGGUGAGUAACACGUGGAUAACCUGCCUCAAGGCUGGGGAUAACAUUUGGAAACAGAUGCUAAUACCGAAUAAAACUUAGUAUCGCAUGAUACAAAGUUGAAAGGCGCUACGGCGUCACCUAGAGAUGGGUCCGCGGUGCAUUAGUUAGUUGGUUGGGGUAAAGGCCUACCAAGACAAUGAUGCAUAGCCGAGUUGAGAGACUGAUCGGCACAUUGGACUGAGUACACGGCCCGAAACUCCUACGGAGGCUGCAGUAGGGAAUCUUCCAC
rnacentral:rRNA from 1 species